AGCCACCCUGCCUUGGAGAAGGGCCUCAAAGAUAGAUUUUUUUUCCCUCUCCAAAUUCUCUGAAGACUGAAGUUCCUUAAGGACUAAGAAAACACUUGUUUCCCUUCCAGCUCCUUUUCCUGAUGCUCCAAGCAACGUUUCUGGAGCCUCCAGAACUGAAGGGCGGACCAAUUCCCUGGAGGAAAGGAAUGGAUUUGGGCCCAGGGGAGCCACAUUUUUUCUCAGCUCUAUGGCAAGCAAGCACCAAGGGUCCAAGGAUCAGGGAGCAUAUUAAAUACACUGUUCUAGGGAUUUCCCUGAUGGUGCAGUGGUUAAGAAUCCACCUGCCAGUGCAGGAGACAUGGGUUUGAGCCCUGGUCCCGGAAGAUCCCACAUGCCGAGGAGCAACUAAGCCUGUGCACCACAACUACUGAGUCUGCGCUCUAGAGCCAGCGAGCCACAACUACUGAAGCCCACGUGCCUAGAGCCCGUGCUCCACAACAAGAGAAGUCACCGCAAUGAGAAGCCCGCACACCACAACAAAAAGUAGCCCCGCUCACCACAACUAGAGAAAGCCUGUGCGCAGCAACGAAGACCCAAUG